CUGAACAUUGAGCCUUGAUGUGUAGGAUAGGUGGGAGGCUUUGAAGUGUGGACGCCAGUCUGCAUGGAGCCGACCUUGAAAUACCACCCUUUAAUGUUUGAUGUUCUAACGUUGACCCGUGAUCCGGGUUGCGGACAGUGUCUGGUGGGUAGUUUGACUGGGGCGGUCUCCUCCUAAAGAGUAACGGAGGAGCACGAAGGUUGGCUAAUCCUGGUCGGACAUCAGGAGGUUAGUGCAAUGGCAUAAGCCAGCUUGACUGCGAGCGUGACGGCGCGAGCAGGUGCGAAAGCAGGUCAUAGUGAUCCGGUGGUUCUGAAUGGAAGGGCCAUCGCUCAACGGAUAAAAGGUACUCCGGGGAUAACAGGCUGAUACCGCCCAAGAGUUCAUAUCGACGGCGGUGUUUGGCACCUCGAUGUCGGCUCAUCACAUCCUGGGGCUGAAGUAGGUCCCAAGGGUAUGGCUGUUCGCCAUUUAAAGUGGUACGCGAGCUGGGUUUAGAACGUCGUGAGACAGUUCGGUCCCUA
rnacentral:rRNA from 1 species